GACGAACGCUGGCGGCGUGCUUAACACAUGCAAGUCGAACGAUGAAGAAGAGAAACGCGAACUUCGGUUCAAAUUUCACUUCGGAUUAGUGGCAGACGGGUGAGUAACGCGUGAGCAACCUACCUCUUACAAAGGGAUAGCCUCGGGAAACCGUGAUUAAUACCAUAUGACACAUUCAUAAGGCAUCUUAAGAAUGUUAAAGCUACGGCGGUAAGAGAUGGGCUCGCGUCCCAUUAGCUAGUUGGUGAGGUAACGGCCCACCAAGGCGACGAUGGGUAACCGGCCUGAGAGGGUGAACGGUCACAUUGGAACUGAGACACGGUCCAAACUCCUACGGGAGGCAGCAGUGGGGAAUAUUGCACAAUGGAGGGAACUCUGAUGCAGCGACGCCGCGUGAGCGAUGAAGGAAUUCGUUUCGUAAAGCUCUGUUAUAUGGGAAGAAAAGGACUGUACCAUAGGAGAAAGCCCCGGCUAAAUACGUG
rnacentral:rRNA from 1 species